AUGAUAAAAGUUAGUGGCAGACGGGUGAGUAAUGCAUAGGAAUCUACCUAGUAGUAUGGGAUAGCCACUAGAAAUGGUGGGUAAUACUGUAUAAUCCCUGCGGGGGAAAGAUUUAUCGCUAUUAGAUGAGCCUAUGUUAGAUUAGCUAGUUGGUAGGGUAAAGGCCUACCAAGGCAGUGAUCUAUAGCUGGUCUGAGAGGAUGAUCAGCCACACUGGAACUGAGAUACGGUCCAGACUCCUACGGGAGGCAGCAGUGGGGAAUAUUGGACAAUGGGCGCAAGCCUGAUCCAGCUAUGCCGCGUGAGUGAGGAAGGCCUUAGGGUUGUAAAACUCUUUCAGUGGGGAAGAUAAUGACGGUACCCACAGAAGAAGUCCCGGCAAACUCCGUGCCAGCAGCCGCGGUAAUACGGAGGGGGCAAGCGUUGUUCGGAAUUAUUGGGCGUAAAGGGCAUGUAGGCGGUUCGGUAAGUUAAAGGUGAAAUGCCAGGGCUUAAC
rnacentral:rRNA from 1 species